GAUUAUGGCUCAGGAUGAACGCUGGCGGCGUGCUUAACACAUGCAAGUCGAACGAAGCCAAAAGGAAGCUUGCUUCUUGAAGCUUAGUGGCGGACGGGUGAGUAACGCGUGAGUAACCUGCCCUUCAGUGGGGAAUAACACAGAGAAAUCUGUGCUAAUACCGCAUAACGUCUUCUUGCCGCAUGACAGGAAGACCAAAGGAUUUAUUCGCUGAAGGAUGGACUCGCGUCCGAUUAGCUAGUUGGUGAGGUAACGGCCCACCAAGGCGACGAUCGGUAGCCGAACUGAGAGGUUGAUCGGCCACAUUGGGACUGAGACACGGCCCAGACUCCUACGGGAGGCAGCAGUGGGGAAUAUUGGGCAAUGGGCCGAAAGCCUGACCCAGCAACGCCGCGUGAAGGAAGACGGUCUUCGGAUUGUAAACUUCUUUGAUUGGGGAAGAAACAAAUGACCUACCCAAAGAACAAGUCACGGCUAACUACGUGCCAGCCGCCGC
rnacentral:rRNA from 1 species